AAACGACCGAAAGAACUUAAAGCUAAUACGCAAAGUCGGGGAUCAUAAAAACAGACGUGGAAUUUAGAGCUAAUAUUCAAAGUCGUGGAUCAUAAAAACAGACCGAAAGAACUUAGAACUAAUACGUAAAGUCGGGGAUCAUAAAAAUGGACCGAAAGAACUUAGAGCUAAUACGCAAAGUCCGGGAUCAUAAAAACGGACCAAAAGAACUUGGAGCUAAUACGUAAAGUCGGGGAUCAUAAAAGCGGACCGAAAGAAUUUAGAGCUAAUACGCAAAGUCGGGGAUCAUAAAAAGGGACCGAAACAUCUUAGAGCAAAUACGCAAAGUCAGGGAACAUAAAAAGGGACUGAAAGAACUUAGAGCUAAUACGCAAAGUCGGGGAUCAUAAAAAGGGACCGAAAGAACUUAGACCUAAUACGCAAAGUCAGGGAUCAUAAAAACCGACCGAAAGAACUUAGAGCUAAUAUGCAAAGUCGGGGAUCAUAAAAAGGGACCGAAAUAACUUAGAGCUAAUACGCAAAGUCGGGGAUCAUAAAAAGGGACCGAAAGAACUUAGAGCUAAUAUGCAAAGUCGGGGAUCAUAAAAACGGACCGAAAGAACUUAGUGCUAAUACGCAAAGUCAGGGAUCAUAAAAACCGACCGAAAGAACUUAGAGCUAAUACGCAAAGUCGGGGAUCAUAAAAACCGACUAAAAGAACUUAGAGGUAAUACGGAAAGUCGGGGAUCAUAAAAACGGACCGAAAGAACUUAGAGCUAAUACGCAAAUUCGGGGGAUCAUAAAAACGGACCGAAAGAACUAAGAGCUAAUACGCAAAGUCGGGGAUCAUAAAAACGGACCAAAAGAACUUAGAGCUAAUACGCAAAGUCGGGGAUCAUAAAAACCGACCGAAAGAACUUAGAGCUAAUACGCAAAGUCGGGGAUCAUAAAAAUGACCGAAAGAACUUAGAGCUAAUACGUAAAGU
rnacentral:lncRNA from 1 species